CCUGUCUCAUGUCGUGUUUCCAACAUAGGCUCCGGACCACAUCAACGCUGCACUGCACGAGUGGAAGUGGAGAUACUAUUUAGAAAUAUAAAACAGCUUAACCGCCCUUUUCUGUAAGAAUAAAGCAGGGUGUUUUGGUUGACCGUAACAUAGCACAGUACGGCACAGCACGCGACACAGCAGACAAUGACGUAAUAAUUUCUGUUUGAAUCUUUGACUACGGCCACAGGAGCAAUAUGAUGGACUGCGGUCGACACACAGCUGUGUUUUACUGCCUUAAGAUUGAACGAAUACGGUGUUUGUGACGUUUGAAAAGAAGGGGGAGUACAUUAUUUUUCAAAACUCGCCAAUUGCACAGUACAGCACGCUGAUAAAGAUUAUUAUUAUUAUUAUUAUUAUUAUUAUUAUUAUUAUUAUUAUUAUCUGUUUCCAUUUUGCACGUCGGCGCGUCACGGACAGAAGUAAGUACAGUGUAGUGGAGAAACAAACAAAGGGGAAUUGUGCAUGGAAUUUAUUUAUUUGUUUGUUUGUGUGUUGUCUUGCUUGCUUGUUUAUGAGGCACUACUACAGCCGCGGGGUCUGCGUCUGCGGUCUGGAGUCGAAGCUGGUGUCAUUUCUAAUCAUCCGCCUCUUUCAAUCAUGAUUCUGCGUGCAGAAUGCCAAAGAAACAGGCUGCCGCCAGUCCCCAUGGCUAACCUGUACCUGCUAAAGUUGGACAAACUUGACCUGCUGAUCCAUGGCCAGGUGUACAUCGAUUCCCCGGGUCUUACUAGAUUAGAAUGGUGCUUUGUUGAAAACCCCACCCACAGGGGCAAACUGAGAAGGGGACACAUUCCUUGAUAUGUUGACUUAUCCUAAGACAUUUUAAGAGGCUGAGAUGGUGACCCAGACACAAGCGUUUGCAAAACAUCUACAGUUAAUUUAAGGUAAGAACAUAUCCUACAAUUUUGAUUUUACUUGGUUUGUGUAUGUGAAAUGUAUU
rnacentral:lncRNA from 1 species